AAAAAUAUGUUUUCUGUUAAUAUGUAAUGGCUUACUGCUCUUUCAAAAUAAAUUAAUGUUUUAUAACACUUCCCAGGUUUAAUUUCUAAAACGGUAAAUAUCAAUAGAUAGAACUCAUAAAAAACGAAAGCUCCAUGGAUUCCCUGGUAACUUUUCAAAGUGCAAAGGGGCCCCAAGGCCAAAGAAUCUGGGAAAUGUUGGCACAGGAUGAACCCCCUGACCUUUCCAGUGGAGGAUUGAGGUGGUGGGGUGGGGUGGAUCCAAGUGCCACUUCUGACAGAGGUAACACAGACGGGGUGCCUGGCUUUUGGUCUGUUGUGCCAGGGUCUGUCAGGGAUGAGACGAGGGGGCCAGGACCUCACAGUAGCCUGGGGCCAGCCCUCCUUCCCGUGGGAGGGGUGGGUAGCCCUGGAGCCUCUCAGAGGAAGCUGUCGGGAGACCAGCUCUGGUGGGCUGAUGCUCCCACCAGGCACACCUGAUGCGGAAGCUCUGGGGCUCACUGGCCCAUUGUCAAGACCGGGAGCAGCCUGAUCCGGUUCUGGCAGGUUCAAACAAGACAGAUUUUGGGACACUCCUUCAGCCUCUCACCAGAGCUCACAAUGGGAAGAAAUCGGGUGAUGGCCAUGGUAAAAUAGCCGGCCACCUCCUUCUCCUGUCCCGAGGUCCUGCCUCCUUUGCCCAGGUGUGGGCCAGCUCCUAACAGAGCCCCUCUCUCCUCGGGCUGCUCUUCUGAGUCUUACAUGCAGGGCCAGAAACAGUCAUCUGCUUCACUCCCAGGAGGGCAGUUCUGGGGGCUGGAAGGAAACAGGGGGGCUCUGAUAACCCCCUGGAGGAGCCAGACGACUCUAAGACAUGGGCCAUUGUGCUGCAGCCUCAAGGCGGCCUCUCUCCCUGCAGCUUGUGGUCAAGCAGCGCUUUUGGAACUCUCUCCCCAACCCCUGAUGCCGACUCCUGGUGUUUGCCAUUGUGCCAAGAGCAGGCUGGGCAGCCCCAGCAGAUGACGAGCACCGUGUGGAGUUGAGGCCCCGCAACUGCCUGUGGAGGUUCUUUGGAGCGCGUGGAUUUAUGAAUUCAGCCUGACCCAGAGCUGCCCCUGCCUGGACCCCACUUCUCAGAGUUUGGAGGGAGCGUGGCCCUGCUGACUGACAUCUUGGUUUCAGAUUCCCAGCCUCCAGAACUAGGCAGGACUUUGGAGCCAGACACCUUCUCUUGUGAACGCUGAUCCAGAAAUACUUGGCUUGAGAUAGUUUCCUAGAAUUGGGCAGGAGUGCAGUUUGACUUCUGGAACCCUGGGCUUCUGGUUGUGAAAGAGAUCUCUACAAGCUUCUUCUUCCCACUGCAUCUGAGUUUCUUCAGCCUCUUCAGCACAGACAAUUGAAGGAAGAUGUCUACUGCCAUGUAAGGUGAGUCACAGCUGGGUUGUUUAGGAUUCUAAGCAGAGACCCACAGAGGAAGGUUGCUGAUUCAAAGGCUGCUGCCUUGACUUAAAUAGCAGGGUUGCUGAU